ACCCAAAAGCAGCACAGGCAGACGAAAUCUCAGUCGGUAAUGCCCUUUAUUAUUCACUGCAGUCUUUAACAGUUUAUACAGUGGCAGGGUGAGAAGUCUUGGCUCCAGUGAUCCUCUGCGAGAUCUGAGAAGGAGUGAGCCUGGUGUUGCUGACUGAAGGCAAAGUCAACAGCAGGUGGAUUACCUAGCUGGCAGACAGGUCCAGUGGUGAGCUGUGUAGCCACAGAGUCGAGCAGGUGCGUAACCAGGAGGGAAUAGGCGAGACUCGUGGUCGAAUACAGAAGGCUGAGGUAAUAUCCAGGGCAGAGACGGGGCAGGCAGGUCGGCAACAGGUGAUCAGUCCGGGGAAAAACCGCUGGAAGUCAGGCAUAACACAAGAACAAUCUGGCACUGAAGCAGAGACAGGAGCAGGCUUAACUGCAGCCAGGGCUGUCACAGGUGUGGAGAGUUGGCCUGAUGAUGAGGCGUGGCUAACAGGUAGAGUGGAGCAGAGACAGGUAACAGAGCCACUUGAGCUUGUGGGGAUGGAUUUGGUUGGCAAACUGUCAUCGACCAAAAAUGGCUGUCAGUACAUUUGUGUCAUGAUCGACUAUUUCACAAAAUGGACAGAGGCCUAUCCGUUGAGGAUCAAAUGUGCUGCUGAGGUCACAGACUGCAUUCUUGACUUCUUUUAUAAGUUUGGUGCUCCAAAAAGGCUUCUAACCCUUACCCUUUUUCCUCAUGUUUGGACGUGAGGCCAGGUACUCUACGGAGGUUCCCGAGGAGUAUAUGGUGACAGAUGAUGGUGUGGAGGCUCUUUUUGCCCAGGAGACCCAAUCUCUGGUAAUGGAGGGUCUCCCUGCCCACUACAGCCUGACUCAAGCCAACAUGGGGAAAGUGAGGGAAUAGAUAAAGAGAAAGAGAGAGGAGAUGGGUCAUGACGACAAUUUCAAAGUUGGCCCAAAGGUGAUGAGGGCAAAUAUACGCCAGGA